CAGUAGCCGCGGUAAUACGUAGGUCCCGAGCGUUGUCCGGAUUUAUUGGGCGUAAAGCGAGCGCAGGCGGUUAGAUAAGUCUGAAGUUAAAGGCUGUGGCUUAACCAUAGUACGCUUUGGAAACUGUUUAACUUGAGUGCAAGAGGGGAGAGUGGAAUUCCAUGUGUAGCGGUGAAAUGCGUACAUAUAUGGAGGAACACCGGUGGCGAAAGCGGCUCUCUGGCUUGUAACUGACGCUGAGGCUCGAAAGCGUGGGGAGCAAACAGGAUUAGAUACCCCUGUAGUCCCUGUCUUUAUACAC
rnacentral:rRNA from 1 species